AAAUGACGUGAGGAAUCAAGGAGAAAAAGGAAAAGAACAGGAAGCGAAAAGUAGGAGAAGCUCUUGAUUUCUGUGCUCAUUCCUUGUUCGGAUGAGCUCACUGUUUGCAACAUUGGCGUUGG
ensembl:ncRNA T13H10.4 ncRNA